rnacentral:tRNA from 1 species
GAAGGAUUAGUUAAAUACAUAACAUCAGAAUGUCAAACUGAAAUAAUCGACGAGAUAUCCUUCU